GGGGCUUAGCUCAGCUGGGAGAGCACCUGCUUUGCAAGCAGGGGGUCGUCGGUUCGAUCCCGACAGGCUCCACCA
rnacentral:tRNA from 1 species